rnacentral:lncRNA from 1 species
AUGUUUCCCCAUGUCAAUCUCAGCUUCCCUAUCAAUGUAAACAUAUGUUCCCCAUGCCAAUCUCAGCUUCCCUAUCAAUGUAAACAUGUUCCCCAUGCCAAUCUCAGCUUCCCUAUCAAUGAAAACAUAUGUUCCCCAUGCCAAUCUCAGCUUCCCUAUCAAUGUAAACAUAUGUUUCCCCAUGCCAAUCUCAGCUUCCCUAUCAAUGUAAACAUAUGUUCCCCCAUGCCAAUCUCAGCUUCCCUAUCAAUGUAAACAUAUGUUUCCCCAUGCCAAUCUCACUUCUAUCAAACUAAACAUCUUUCCCAUGCCACUCAGCUCCCUAUCAAUGUAAAUAUAUGUCCCCAUGCCAAUCUCAGCUUCCCUAGCAAUGUAAACUAUAUUUCCCAUGCCAAUCUCAGCUUCCCUAUCAAUGUAAACAUGUUCCCCAUGCCAAUCUCAGCUUCCCUAUCAAUGUAACAUAUGUUCCCAAUGCCAAUCUCAGCUUCCCAUCAAUGUAAACAUGUUCCCCAUGCCAAUCUCAGCUCCCUAUCAAUGUAAACAUGUUCCCCAUGCCAAUCUCAGCUUCUAUCAACUAAACAUUUCCCAUGCCAAUCUCAGCUUCCCUAUCAAUGUAAACAUAUGUUCCCCAUGCCAUCUCAGCUUCCCAUCAAUGUAACCAUAUGUUCCCCAUGCCAAUCCAGCUUCCCU